rnacentral:lncRNA from 1 species
UCUUGCUUGAAGAACACGUACGAUGCUAAGUUUCUCAGUUAGGUAGAACAUGGCCAUGCGGAGAACCCGGCCGGCUACCGAUUGCCAAAUCCUAAAAACCGAAUGCUGUUGGUACGACUUCGAUUAAGGGAUACCAAUCAUAUAAGAAAUGGAGGUCAAUCAUGCAAGAUCUCAUAAUGAAGCAACACCUGGUGCACAUUAUCGUACU